UCCGUCUUCUCCUUCUUCUUGUUUCGGCACUUUGCAGCUGCAAUCUUAUUUCUUUCUCGUCGCCUCUUUUUCCUUUCAUCUUCUUCAGGGGCUACCUGUAAAAUCCAAAAGAAACACAUUUAAAGGGCAGUAAGAAAUGCCACCUACCUCAAAUACACUGCCUUUUACUGCCAGCAAAAGCUGGCAGACAAGGGCAAUGCUAGCGCUAAAAGACCCCGAAAUACUAAAGCUCUAGACUUUUGUGUGAAAACCCCUACACACACACACACACACACGCACACACACACACGUGAGUGAACAACAAAAAUCAAAGUUAAAAUUAUACCGGCAAUAUAUUAGUAAAUUAAAAGUUAGCCAAUUUUAAAAAUGCAUUUGGAUUUUGAGAUGAGGAUAAUAUGCAAAUUGAUAACUAUUGGUAUUAACUAUAAUCAUUUAAAGCCGAAACAGAUUCUGUCUGGUAAACAUCUCCUUUCUUUGAGAACCAGGAAUGAUCUCAGGAUCAUUACCUAGCCACCCACUCCCGGCCUCUUCUUCAAUUCAAGACCCAAGGGCAACCCCAUUCACCUCUGACUUCACCUGGAGCAUCAGAGCACCAGCUUCCCAAAUUUGGGAGAAGCCCAUGAUGCUCCUGUAGAAAAGGCACCUAAGCCCAUUCCCAACCAAAGCGGCAUUAAUCGGCCCAUGCUGGGGUGCCACCUGCAAGUGGUGAACUAGGACAGUCUUUUAGGUCAGUCCCACUACUCCUUGCCCAAAGGCUGCAAUCAUGCCAGUUGAGUAAGCCUGAAACACUUCCACUUGCCACCAUGAGGAAAAGGCCAAUAAAAUGGUGGAACCUCAGCUCUGACAUCCUUAAGCCACUAUGGCAUCGCCAGAAGCCACCUCCCAGACUUCUCACCAUGUUUAUUAUUCCAGGAGUCUUACCCAAGGUUGCCAAGCGUGGAACAGUGCAAGUGUGUCAGACAGAAGUGAACCUGGAGCAACACCUGGUCCCAAGGCUGUGAACAUUGCUACAGGGAAGGGUGGGGCAGGCUGCCUGGUCCUUGCUCUACUGUCUGGGUGCUUGGGUCCUAGUAGUGAUAAAAACAGGGACCACCACGCUCCAAGCUUCUUCAGAACAACUGGACACAGAAGGUGGCCUCAUCCUGACUCAUGGCUUUAAGUGCCAUCUAUAUGCCGAUAAUUUCCAACUCUAUUAUCUCUAGCCCAGACUGUCCUCUGAACUCCAGACUCACAUAUCCAACUGCCUGCUUGACAUCUCCACAGGGGUCUGCAGAAUAGGACAGACCUCCUGCUCUUGCCACCACCCUAACCCCUAUAAUCCCAAAUCUCAGCAGCAAAUGGACGCUCCAUUCUUACAGCUAUGCUGGCCAGAAAACUCAGUCACCCUUGAGUCUUCCCUUUCUCUUACACCCCACAUCCAAUCUAUCAGCAAAUCAGCUUUACCUUCAAGUCAGAUCCAAAGCCAACCACUUCUCAGCACCUGCACUGCUCCCUCCUGCUGCAGGCCCCCUGACUCACGUGGAUUCCUGCCACGGCCUCCUUUCUGUGCACUCAGCUUCUGUCUUACCCCUACUGCCCAUUCUCAACAUGACAGCCAGGGUGAUCAUUUAAAAAUAUAAAUCAAGGCUGGGCGUGGUGGCUCACACCUGUAAUCCCAGCACUUUGGGAGGCCGAGGCGGGCGGAUUACCUGAGGUCAGGAGUUCGAGACCAGCCUGGCCAACAUGGAGAAACCCCGUCUCUACUAAAAAAAUUCAAAAAUUAGCCAGACGUGUGGCGGGCACCUGUAAUCCCAGCUAUUUGGAAGACUGAGGCAUGAGAAUCCCUUGAACCUGGGAGGCAGAGGUUGCAGUGAGCCAAGAUCAUGCCACUGCACUCCAGUCUGGGUGACAGAACAAGACUCUGUCUCAAAAAAAAAAGUGUGUGUGUGUAUCUGUGUGUGUGUGUGUGUGUUGAAUCUUGUUGCUUCUCUGCUCAAAAGCCUUCUGUGGUUUCCCACCUCACUUUGAGCCCAGGGCUGCAUCUAUACAAUAAUAAUCUGUAAGACCCAAUAUGACCAGCCCCUAUUUAUCUCCCACCCCUAUACUCUGCCCCACUGCACAGCCCACCAGGCACCAAUACUUCCACCUCAGUGCCCUUAAUUUCUUUUACCAGAUACCCACGUGGCUUCUUCCCUCUCCUCUUUCCUUCUUCCUUUCCUUUUGACCUCUGCUCAAAAGUCACUAUCAGUGAAUCCUUACCUGACUUCCUAAUUUAAAACAGCAACCCCGGCUGGGUGCAAUGGCUCAUCCCUGUGAUCCCAGUGUUUUGGGAGGCUGAAGCAGGAGGAUCGCUUGAGCCCAGGAGACUGAGGCUACAAUGAGCCGUGAUCACCCCACUGCACCCCAGCCUGGGUGAUGGAGCAACACUGUCUCUAAAAGCAAAAUGAGUCUUGCUCCAUCACCCAGGCUGGAGUGCAGUGAGGUGAUCACGGCUCAUUGCAGCCUCAACCUCCUGGGCUCAAGCGGUCCUCCCACCUCAGCCUCGCAAGUAGAUGAGACUAUAGGCCAUGUACCACCUUGCCCAGCUAAUACUGUCAUAGAGAUUGGGUUUCAUUGUGUUGCCCAGGCUGGUCUCAAACUCCUGGACUCAAGCGAUAAUCCCAUCUUGGCCUCUCAAAGUGCUGGGAUUAUAAGCGUGGGCCACCAUGCCUGGCCUGAAAAGUUUUUAAACCCAGCAACCCCAUCCCUACCCGUUCUCUCUGCCCCGCUCCCUGCUUUUUUCUCCUUUGCACUCAUCUCUUAACGUGUACUUACGUAUGUUAUGUACUUCUGUCUCCUCCCAGGAGAAGGUAAGCUCCCUGAGGGCAGUGGUUUUGUUUGUUUCACUCUCAACAACAGCCCCCUGCCUAGAACAUGCCCAACACACAGUGGCUGCGAGCGAAACAUGUGCCGAAAGAAUGAAUACCUGUGAUAGAACCCACCUCGGCUUUUGUGAUGGACACCCCGAGGGGUCUGUCGCUGACAGUGACUGAUUCCAGCGCAGAGGACAGGCAGGGGACGAUGGCAGAAGCACUCACUUCCGAGGCAGAGACCUGGCCUGGGUGUUGAAGCAUCAUUUUGCUGAAAGACACAUUGAAACCCAAACUGUUUCAGGGGCUCUGGGGCAUGGGAUCAAGUCCCCCUCCCCCACCAGACCUCCAACACCAGAGCCCCACCCUCAGAGAAAAGUCCCAUAAGCCCUUGGGUUUCUGUUUUGUUUUCAUUUCAUGCCAUCCUCAUCUUAAGUAAAGCAGGUUCUUAAAAUACACAUAGCUCAGUGACAUGAACAAAAUGCCUAUUUGAAAUUUAUAAGGGAUGAUGUUUCAGGCUACUCUGAAUUCACAAGAUCUAUGAGUUUUGGCUGGUGUGCCUAUGUGCAAAUGUGGCCACAAACAGUCCUGAAAGAGGAAGAACAUUUUUUAAAAAUCAGUGAGGCCAUUUUAAAAAUCAUGAGUAAUCUCAUUUUCAGCUUCUUUUUCUUUCUCUCUCUCUCUCUUUUUUUUUUUUUGUAUAUUACUCAAAAUAAAGUUUCUUUCACUUAAAAAAAAAAGCCUCUUUUUCAAAGAGGCUUGACGUCAAGCUGAAACUAUCAGUGAGUGGAAGUAAAAGCAAAAAGUGGGGAAUCCUUGAAUUUAGCAAAUACAUCUCUGAAGCUUCUCCCCCGAAGUUGGGCCCAAGCAAUGGGAAUGAGAAAGGUAACUGUAGCCAGGUGCGUUUCUUCACCCCAGUCUUUGGCAGGGGAUGGGGAGGUGGAUUCUUAAGGUUAAGGUUGGCAAAGCAAAAGGUCUUAAAGAAAAGUGAGGCACUGUAUUGUGGGGGAGUUGUUCAGGCCUGUGGUAUAGGGAUAGACUUAGGCUGGGUGUGGGGGCAGGGAACCCUGGGGCUGGCUCUGGCACUAAACAGCAGUGACUUGAGCUAGUAAUUUCAGCUCUCUAGGACCCAGUCUGUGUCUGGUAAAUGACUGACAGCUCCUCCAAUGCAAGCAUUGAGUCUCCACCAUUGCUUUACCCAGAGCCUGGCCCAAUGCCUGACUCGCCAUGCCUCAUUGGCCAACUGAUAAAU
rnacentral:lncRNA from 10 species